GCCAGGUGUGGUGGCGCACACCUGUAAUCCCAGCAGCUUGGGAGGUUGAGGCAGGAGGAUCUCAAGGUCAAAGCCAACCUCAG
rnacentral:sRNA from 1 species